rnacentral:rRNA from 1 species
UACAGAGGUCCCAAGCGUUGUUCGGAUUCACUGGGCGUAAAGGGUGCGUAGGUGGCCAGGUAAGUUCGGUGUGAAAGCUCGGAGCUUAACUCCGAAAUGUCAUUGAAUACUAUCUGGCUAGAGGGUCGGAGGGGAGACUGGAAUUCUCGGUGUAGCAGUGGAAAUGCGUAGAUAUCGAGAGGAACACCAGUGGCGAAGGCGAGUCUCUCGGACGACACCUGACAGCUGAGGCACGGAAAGCUAGGGAGCAAACAGG